UCAACAAAAUAUAAAUUGAUGGCCUACCAAAACAUAACCGUUACACAUUCAUUGCUUAGUAUAGAAAAGGAGUUAGAGAAUCACCUUGUAGAGACUUUGAAAGCAAAAUUACUGGAGAAAUAUCUAGUCUUGAAUGCGAUGCAGAGGUCAGCGGAUGAAAGAGACAGUAGGAUAAAUAGAAGUGAAAUAAGUUUUGUGGAAGGAAGAAUCGGGUUGUGGUUUAUGCUGUUUGGGAGAGAGUGAAGAUUGCAGGGCGUUGGAGAGAAGGGCAGACGGAGGAGGAAGGCUAGAAUUCAAUUGGAACGAGGUGUAAAUGAUCCUCUUUUUACAGAACCAAUUUGUGAGCAGUAGACAAACCAGUUUAGGUGUGAAACAGAG
rnacentral:lncRNA from 1 species